rnacentral:rRNA from 1 species
AUGACUUCCGUUUCUUUGUUUGUGCUAUCUCUACGAGACUGGUUGGACCUCUCACUCAAUCAUGCUAUGCCAUUGUCCAUUCUCAUACCUUCAAGGGCUUUUAUCGUAUCUAGGAGAAUGAAACCUGAGGAGGCUGCUGUGGCAAUAUUGUCUUCUCUACCAGAUGAAGUUGUGGAUAUAGUUUUUAUAGUAUUGCCAUCUAAAGAUUCAGUUUCUGAGAGGAGGAAAAAACUGGAAUUCCUUGAGAUGCGGGAAGAACUUAUCAAGGUGAUGUAUGUCUUGCAAAUAUUUAAAAUGGACUAUUUUUUACUUCAUCUGCAAAUGCAACCAUGA